rnacentral:rRNA from 1 species
GACGAACGCUGGCGGCGUGCUUAACACAUGCAAGUCGAGCGAGGCCUUCCCUUCGGGGGAGUGUCCUAGCGGCGAACGGGUGAGUAACACGUGGGCAACCUGCCCUCAGCUCUGGGAUAACCCCAAGAAAUUGGGGCUAAUACCGGAUACGACCACUGACCGCAUGGUCUGGUGGUGGAAAGAUUUAUCGGCUGGGGAUGGGCCCGCGGCCUAUCAGCUUGUUGGUGGGGUAGUGGCCUACCAAGGCGACGACGGGUAGCCGGCCUGAGAGGGUGACCGGCCACACUGGGACUGAGACACGGCCCAGACUCCUACGGGAGGCAGCAGUGGGGAAUAUUGCGCAAUGGGCGGAAGCCUGACGCAGCGACGCCGCGUGGGGGAUGACGGCCUUCGGGUUGUAAACCUCUUUCAGCAGGGACGAAGCGCAAGUGACGGUACCUGCAGAAGAAGCACCGGCCAACUACGUGCCAGCCGCCGCGGUAAGAC